UCCUCACACAACUGACAGCCAGUGAACAGACCCCAGAUUUCCAGCCUGUUGUGAGAGAUCGGGUCAUGAAUAGGACCUUCAUCAUCAUCAGUCCACAUUUCUCCAAUUUCACGACAAACGACUUUGAAAUUUGGUUCCAAGUGAAACUGAUUACCAUCCUUCCAAGUUUUACUCCAGAAAUGCUCAAAAAUACAACCACAAACAUCAGCUGCACAAACUACCAAGUCAUUGUGAGUGGGAUGGCUUCAGUUAUCCAGGAGAUGCCACUGUACAGACGACAAGAGAUCACACAUGUUCU